ACCUUAAUACCAAUCGAGUCUAUGAGACAUCUUAGACUUUAAUACCAAAAAUCUUCGUCCCUAAACUGAAACUGUGUAAAUUUGAUUCAAGGACAGUAUGUACGGAUGGUUUCGCUGACGUGAAGUCCUAGUCAGCAAGGAGAAAAUAAAAAAAAAUAUGGAACCCACGUGUAAGUCUGUAAGUCACAUGUUAGCAAGGAGAGAAU
rnacentral:lncRNA from 1 species